CUGCUCAGGAAUUUGAAUGCUCUGAGCAGAGAUACUUUGACUGCAUGAGGUUCUAGGAAAAGUAUGUGUGAGUGCAUGUGAGUGGAUGUGCGUGCCUGCAUGUGUGAUAUGGCUCCAGGAUACAAGGAGUGAGACCGCACACUGGAAGACAGAGAAAAAGCAGCCUCAACAGUCUGAACAGAGAUGCUGUGUAGGCUUGUGGAAAGCCUGGAGAACCUUGGAUUAAGGUUCUGGCAGAAAGAGCCUUGAAGGGCAUCCUGUGAUUUUCACUUCAAGAAAAGGAAACUUGAAAUGCAAACUGCACUUCAAAAUAGUGACAAGACCCUUCACAAAGUAGAAACUCACAGCUUGAGAAAGGAACUUCAACAAAGCUGGGUUUGCUGUCCAGCAAGACUGGAUGAUGACCUCAGUGCUGUCACUGAACCAGAACAAAGACCUGUUCAGGAAUUUGAGAACAAAAUGUGAUGACACUGGAAAAUCCUGACCUGUCAAAACCAACAUAUUCUUUGGAAAUAGUUUGGUUUCAACAAACUUCUUCCAAAUCACUGUUGUAUUUCCUUUUAAAACUUGCCUAGUUUUCUGAAAAUUCAUGUAGAGAGGGCAGUUCAGGAGUUUGUGUUUCAAAGGUCUAGAACUCCUGCCAGCUCUGGCAAAGCUUAAAAUGAGUUGAGUUGGAAAGAGUUGAAGACACAAAGUUUACCGUUUGUGAACAGAAAGGUGGUUUCAGGAGAGAGCACUUAACAAUAUUCUGAAGAAAUCCCUCUAAUUGCUUGCUGUCUUCACAGCCCUGCAUCUGGGCUACGGCAGCUGAUGACAGCUUCUGCAGAGAACAAGGUCCAUUGCUCAGCCCUCCUGACGGAAGAAGACCAGGCAGAAAUGAUCCAGUAUCACAGUUUCCAUCCUAGUAGCAACAGGACUGCUCCUCUCAUUUCCAUCUCUGCAAAACUUUUGUGGGAAAGGGGAAGGACCAAACAGCACCUGGCUCUGCCUGGUGUCAGAAAGAGGAUGUCUUUGCCGUUACAAACUUGGCAGGAACUGCCUCAGAGAACAGUUCUUCAUAAAUCUUGCUUCCACAGUUAUAGACCUGCUUUGGGUUUUGAGAGAUCAAAUUAAAUUUUUGACAGGGGUUGGGCCACUCUCAGACAGGCUGGUGGCCCCCACAUAGAUUUACCCUGUGGUUAUAGAACAUGCAAGGCACGGUGUACUUGCUCUUCAGACUAGCUGAUGGUUAGAGGUCCCCAAAUUUCAAGUCCCCUGCCCGUGCAUCUGGCAUAUUCCCUUCUUGCUGACCUCCCAGGCUGUAAGACAGAGCACAGCAGCUCUGGGAGCCUCAGCUCCCACUGGGUGUCACAAGACCUCCCCCCUCUUCAGCAGAGGACUGGGGGCCACAUGUAGAUACUAGAGUUUUUUGGCUCCCUGAGCUGGGGCUAGGAGCUGGGAAGCCAGGAUACAGGUGGGGGCUUUUGAGUGUCCUGGGCUCUCUGCCACAGAGCAGAGUGCUGUGCCAGGCUGCAGGGCAGCAGCAGCAAACCUGCUGGGGAGCCCCCCAGGAGGUAAGUCAGCUUCCUCGCCUUUUGAAGACAAAAAACAAAAACAGAAACAAAGCAAGAAGACAGAAGAAAUCUGGCAAGGGAAUGACAAUGCCUGUAGUUUCCAAUCCAGAUCAGAGGGGAAAUAUUCCACGUUUAGGAGUACAAAAGCGUAAGUUUUAGGCAAUUCUAAUUGCAACCACAAAGCCCCGGUCCUUGCAACUGCUUAGGCAUCAGCAGACUCACAGAGGCAGAGCUAGCCACGUAGUUGCUUCAGCUCUUCACCAGAGAAUGUUUCUAGUGCAUUUUCAGAAUUCAGAAGACAAAGUAUGUAUGAUUUACUCUAAGUCAGUACUUGUCUCUCCUAUUUUCAUCAGGACACUGACCUUUCUGCCUCCCUUGCUGAGACUGAUCAAUCAGAAUAUUGAUACCUACAGCUGCCUGUCUCUUGCAUGAAUACUUCAGAUAGCUAAAUAUAUAUCACAUUAAUUUGACCCUAAAGAAAAAACCAAAAAACUACUUCACCAGCAUUUUUUGUCCAUGCUCUGUGAUAACCAUAACAGCAAGACCAAAGCAAUGUUGCAUUUGAGAUGCAGUCAUCUGCCAGUCUCAAUACUUUCUGCUUAUGCUGGUGUUAAGUCCACAGAUGCCAAGAGAGGAUCACCACAUAUUUCUUCUGAGUUCGCAUAUGCACUGGUCAUGACAAUUAUUUGUGGCAGUAUUUUAUGGAAAAGGACUCUAAGAGGCCACUCACAUGCUUGGAUUUUAAAGUGAGGACUUUAAGGUAUCCUGGUGAGUAGCAUGCAGGUUCCUUCCUCUGACAGCAGCACCUCUUUCUGUCUCUGCUCUUCCCACUGUCAGUCCUGCAAUGACCCACGAGGCCCUGCUGGCAGGAGCUCAGCACAGCUCAGCUCCAGGCUGGGAUGCUGCUGGUGAGGUUCUCUCUGCAGUCCCUGCGAGCAGCACACGGUAACCUUCACUGGCAACGACACUGUCUUGUGAAACCUAAAUAGCUGGAGAACUAUUCAGGGGGAGUAAUAUGUACAAUGGUCUGUCCAAAGCCUGAAAGUCAUCCUGGGCUUUGCCUUCUCUGUCAGAAUGAAAGCUGUUGGUGAAACAGAGAGUUGGAAAACCAGAGUUUUGAGCUGUUGUGUGCCAUAAUCAAUCUUUUUAAAAAUAUUCACUGAAGAAAGAGCUUCCUUCUGGAGAAAAGUUGUUUACAGGAUGAAUUCCAUGCUGAGGUUAAUAUUUAUAGCCACUAUGAAUCUUUUAAAGGCGAACAGCUUCUAACUGCAAUAAGGUACGAGGCUCUAAUAAUACGGUAUUUGCAGAGCUUGGGCAAAACGUGUGGUAGGUUUUCUUCGGAGCCAAUGCAUUGCAGAGAAAGAAAUAUAAAAUGAACUCUGCCCGUGCUGAUGCCAGCAGUCACAGUUACAGAUUGUAAAAAGAGCAGAGAGAGUAUCUUCUUCCUAUGGCAAUCUCCUAGGUGACUGCUUGUUUUCUUAUCGUUACCUGUUCAUCACUUUGGUCUUAAGAGUUUCAUAUACACUGGAGAAUAAGCAACCUGACAGUUCCAUGAAAAGCCACAAUAAUGGUAGGCAUUAUAUGCAACUGAUUUAUUUUCUUAAUAUAGUAUCAAGGCCGUUUUUAGCUGUAUUUGUAGAGAUACAGUGACACCCAGUGGUUGCUAAUAAAUAUAACAGACUGACCUAUAAUUUAUUUGGGGCACUGGAUCUGAUCAUUAUCUAAACUAGCUCAUAUGCCUUCAGAGAAGUUCCAGUGUGUGCUGUUUAUUGAAAAAAACGUGAAUCAGUACAUUUUUUUGCUUCAUAUAUUUUAUUGAAUCUCUAAAACGAAAAUAAAAUAGAAAUAUACAAAGCUAGUCAUGCAAGUAGUGUUUUCUUAUAGCCCUUGCUAAAUAAAAUUGUGUUGGUUCAAGCACA